rnacentral:rRNA from 1 species
UACGGGGGGGGCAAGCGUUUGUUCGGAAUUACUGGGCGUAAAGGGCUCGUAGGCGGCCCUCUCAGUCGGAUGUGAAAUCCCCAGGCUUAACCUGAGAAUGGCAUCCGAUACUGGAGGGCUUGAAUUCGGGAGAGGGAUGCAGAAUUCCAGGUGUAGCGGUGAAAUGCGUAGAUAUCUGGAGGAAUACCGGUGGCGAAGGCGGCAUCCUGGACCGAGAUUGACGCUGAGGAGCGAAAGCUAGGGGAGCAAACGGG